AUUGAACGCUGGCGGCAUGCUUUACACAUGCAAGUCGAACGGUAACAGGGAGCUUGCUCCGCUGACGAGUGGCGAACGGGUGAGUAAUGCAUCGGAACAUGCCCAGUCAUGGGGGAUAACUACGCGAAAGCGUAGCUAAUACCGCAUACGCCCUGAGGGGGAAAGUGGGGGAUCUUAGGACCUCACGUGAUUGGAGUGGCCGAUGUCAGAUUAGCUAGUUGGUGAGGUAAAGGCUCACCAAGGCGACGAUCUGUAGCGGGUCUGAGAGGAUGAUCCGCCACACUGGGACUGAGACACGGCCCAGACUCCUACGGGAGGCAGCAGUGGGGAAUUUUGGACAAUGGGCGCAAGCCUGAUCCAGCCAUGCCGCGUGAGUGAAGAAGGCCUGG
rnacentral:rRNA from 1 species